AAGGGCACCACAAGAACGCGUGGAGCAUGUGGCUUAAUUUGACUCAACGCGGGAAAUCUUACCGGGUCCGGACACACUGAGGAUUGACAGAUAUAUGCACAAUUGAGUUUCGGCUCUUUUGUGCUGAAAGAUGCUAGUUCUUUCAUGAUUAUGUGAUAGGUGGUGCAUGGCCGUUCUUAGUUCGUGGAGUGAUCUGUCUGCUUAAUUGCGUAUCAAUAAUAGAGACCUAGUAUACGCGUAGACUCAUGCGGUAGUGACCCCCUCCUUCGUGAGGCGCGUGUCGCAUGUGUGUUAUACGCACUGGUCUCAGAUAGCAACGAACGUGACCGUAUUCUAUUGUUGCAGUGAAAUGUUUGUGUCUCGUGCGCAACGACCCACUGCUUAGCGUGUGUACUGCUUCGGCGGCACCGCGCAUUAAAACUAUAGAGACCGCUGUUUCUUCUUUAAACCAGAGGAAGGAUACGGCAAUAACAGGUCUGUGAUGCCCUCAGAUGUUCCGGGCUGCACACGUGCUACAAUGAUCAUUGCACUGUGCAUCUAACCCAAUGUGCGCGGACGACGACUCGUACUUGUGCUUCGGCGCAUGUAUGAAAUUCGUAUGAGCACGCGCCGAACCUACUUCGAAAGUAAAAUUUCUCAGUGGGUAAUCCAUUAGAAGUAAUGACUCGCAUAGACCAUGGCACACUAUAUGUACGCCCAGGUCUCCCCGCCUAGCCUUUUGUGCGAGUGCAUGCGUAGCUUGUUGUUUCGUACGUGCCUCUCCGUAUUAAUUCGUACGUGGGGAUAGAUCAUUGUUUAAUUGUUGGUCUCGGUCUUAACUAGGAAUGCCUUGUACGGGUCUCUGGUUCAACAUACCACCCGGAAUACGUCCCUGCCCUUUGUACACACCGCCCGUCGCUCUUACCGAUGGAUUAUACUAUGAAUCUAUAGGACUGCCAAAGCCGUAUCACUUGCGUGCCGCUUAGUGGAAAUAUAUAUGAAUAGUGUGAUCUAAAGGAAAGAGAAGUCGUAACAAGGCAUCGGUAGGUGAACCUGCAGAAGGAUCA
rnacentral:rRNA from 1 species